rnacentral:rRNA from 1 species
UACGUAGGUGGCAAGCGUUGUCCGGAAUUACUGGGUGUAAAGGGAGCGCAGGCGGGAAGCCAAGUCAGCUGUGAAAACUAUGGGCUUAACUUGUAGACUGCAGUUGAAACUGGUUUUCUUGAGUGAAGUAGAGGUUGGCGGAAUUCCGAGUGUAGCGGUGAAAUGCGUAGAUAUUCGGAGGAACACCGGUGGCGAAGGCGGCCAACUGGGCUUUAACUGACGCUGAGGCUCGAAAGUGUGGGGAGCAAACAGG